GGGGAAUAUUGCACAAUGGGCGCAAGCCUGAUGCAGCCAUGCCGCGUGUGUGAAGAAGGCCUUCGGGUUGUAAAGCACUUUCAGCGGGGAGGAAGGCAAUGCGGUUAAUAACCGUGUUGAUUGACGUUACCCGCAGAAGAAGCACCGGCUAACUCCGUGCCAGCAGCCGCGGUAAUACGGAGGGUGCAAGCGUUAAUCGGAAUUACUGGGCGUAAAGCGCACGCAGGCGGUCUGUCAAGUCGGAUGUGAAAUCCCCGGGCUCAACCUGGGAACUGCAUUCGAAACUGGCAGGCUUGAGUCUUGUAGAGGGGGGUAGAAUUCCAGGUGUAGCGGUGAAAUGCGUAGAGAUCUGGAGGAAUACCGGUGGCGAAGGCGGCCCCCUGGACAAAGACUGACGCUCAGGUGCGAAAGCGUGGGGAGCAAAC
rnacentral:rRNA from 1 species